rnacentral:rRNA from 1 species
UAGGGAAUCUUCCGCAAUGGACGCAAGUCUGACGGAGCAACGCCGCGUGAGUGAAGAAGGAUUUCGGUUCGUAAAACUCUGUUGUUAGAGAAGAACAGCGCAUAGAGUAACUGUUAUGCGUGUGACGGUAUCUAACCAGAAAGCCACGGCUAACUACGUGCCAGCAGCCGCGGUAAUACGUAGGUGCAAGCGUUGUCCGGAUUUAUUGGGCGUAAAGCGAGCGCAGGCGGUCAAUUAAGUCUGAUGUGAAAGCCCCCGGCUCAACCGGGGAGGGUCAUUGGAAACUGGUUGACUUGAGUGCAGAAGAGGAAAGUGGAAUUCCAUGUGUAGCGGUGAAAUGCGCAGAGAUAUGGAGGAACACCGGUGGCGAAAGCGGCUCUCUGGUCUGUAACUGACGCUGAGGCUCGAAAGCGUGGGGAGCGAACAGG